rnacentral:rRNA from 1 species
UUAUCCGGAUUUAUUGGGUGUAAAGGGAGCGUAGAUGGAUGUGUAAGUCAGUUGUGAAAGUUUGCGGCUCAACCGUAAAAUUGCAGUUGAUACUGGAUGUCUUGAGUGCAGUUGAGGCAGGCGGAAUUCGUGGUGUAGCGGUGAAAUGCUUAGAUAUCACGAAGAACUCCGAUUGCGAAGGCAGCCUGCUAAGCUGCAACUGACAUUGAGGCUCGAAAGUGUGGGUAUCAAACAGGAUUAGAUACCCUGGUAGUCCACACGGUAAACGAUGAAUACUCGCUGUUUGCGAUAUACGGCAAGCGGCCAAGCGAAAGCGUUAAGUAUUCCACCUGGGGAGUACGCCGGCAACGGUGAAACUCAAAGGAAUUGACGGGGGCCCGCACAAGCGGAGGAACAUGUGGUUUAAUUCGAUGAUACGCGAGGAA